UACGUAGGGGGCAAGCGUUGUCCGGAAUUACUGGGCGUAAAGCGUGCGUAGACGGCUAUCUAAGUCGGGUGUGAAAGCCCCGGGCUCAACCUGGGAAUUGCAUUCGAGACUGAAUAGCUAGGGUACGGUAGAGGGAAGCGGAAUUUCCGGUGUAGCGGUGAAAUGCGUAGAUAUCGGAAGGAACAUCAGUGGCGAAAGCGGCUUCCUGGACCAGUACCGACGUCAGGCACGAAAGCGUGGGGAGCAAACAGG
rnacentral:rRNA from 1 species